GUCGUACGCUUCUUUUUCACCGGAGCUUGCUCCACCGGAAAAAGAAGAGUGGCGAACGGGUGAGUAACACGUGGGUAACCUGCCCAUCAGAAGGGGAUAACACUUGGAAACAGGUGCUAAUACCGUAUAACAAUCGAAACCGCAUGGUUUUGAUUUGAAAGGCGCUUUCGGGUGUCGCUGAUGGAUGGACCCGCGGUGCAUUAGCUAGUUGGUGAGGUAACGGCUCACCAAGGCCACGAUGCAUAGCCGACCUGAGAGGGUGAUCGGCCACAUUGGGACUGAGACACGGCCCAAACUCCUACGGGAGGCAGCAGUAGGGAAUCUUCGGCAAUGGACGAAAGUCUGACCGAGCAACGCCGCGUGAGUGAAGAAGGUUUUCGGAUCGUAAAACUCUGUUGUUAGAGAAGAACAAGGAUGAGAGUAACUGUUCAUCCCUUGACGGUAUCUAACCAGAAAGCCACGGCUAACUACGUGCCAGCAGCCGCGGUAAUACGUAGGUGGCAAGCGUUGUCCGGAUUUAUUGGGCGUAAAGCGAGCGCAGGCGGUUUCUUAAGUCUGAUGUGAAAGCCCCCGGCUCAACCGGGGAGGGUCAUUGGAAACUGGGAGACUUGAGUGCAGAAGAGGAGAGUGGAAUUCCAUGUGUAGCGGUGAAAUGCGUAGAUAUAUGGAGGAACACCAGUGGCGAAGGCGGCUCUCUGGUCUGUAACUGACGCUGAGGCUCGAAAGCGUGGGGAGCAAACAGGAUUAGAUACCCUGGUAGUCCACGCCGUAAACGAUGAGUGCUAAGUGUUGGAGGGUUUCCGCCCUUCAGUGCUGCAGCUAACGCAUUAAGCACUCCGCCUGGGGAGUACGACCGCAAGGUUGAAACUCAAAGGAAUUGACGGGGGCCCGCACAAGCGGUGGAGCAUGUGGUUUAAUUCGAAGCAACGCGAAGAACCUUACCAGGUCUUGACAUCCUUUGACCACUCUAGAGAUAGAGCUUCCCCUUCGGGGGCAAAGUGACAGGUGGUGCAUGGUUGUCGUCAGCUCGUGUCGUGAGAUGUUGGGUUAAGUCCCGCAACGAGCGCAACCCUUAUUGUUAGUUGCCAUCAUUUAGUUGGGCACUCUAGCAAGACUGCCGGUGACAAACCGGAGGAAGGUGGGGAUGACGUCAAAUCAUCAUGCCCCUUAUGACCUGGGCUACACACGUGCUACAAUGGGAAGUACAACGAGUCGCGAAGUCGCGAGGCUAAGCUAAUCUCUUAAAGCUUCUCUCAGUUCGGAUUGUAGGCUGCAACUCGCCUACAUGAAGCCGGAAUCGCUAGUAAUCGCGGAUCAGCACGCCGCGGUGAAUACGUUCCCGGGCCUUGUACACACCGCCCGUCACACCACGAGAGUUUGUAACACCCGAAGUCGGUGAG
rnacentral:rRNA from 1 species